rnacentral:tRNA from 1 species
GGUUUUAUAGUUUAAUAUAAAAACAUUAAAUUGCAAAUUUAAAAAUGAUUUAUUCUAAGACUU